GCCGGUGCGGUGGCAUGUGCCUGUAAUCCAAGUCACUGGGAGGCUGAGGUUGGUGGAUCAAGUGAGCUGAGGAGCUCUGGGCUGCAGCACGCUAUGUCGAACGGGUGUCCACGCUAAGUUCGGUAUCGAUAUGGUGUUCCUGGGGGAGCCCGGGACCACCAGGUUGUCUAAGGAGGGGUGAACCGGCCAGGUCGGAAACGAAGCAGGUCAAAUCCCCCGUGCUGUCCAGUAGUGGGAUAAUACCUGUGAGUAGAUGCUGCAGUGCAGCCUUGGCAAAACAUCGAGACCUAAUCUUUU
rnacentral:SRP_RNA from 1 species